rnacentral:lncRNA from 1 species
CACUGUGUAUGAUGACCCUGCCUGCCCACAUGGCUGAAAUAAAACAUAGGUUUCAAACACACUUUUUAGUAUUAUAUCUCUGAAACUAAACGACAGUUCAACAGUUGCAUUUAUCAUGCAUCAAUUGUAAAUAAAAAUAUCGGGUGAGCGACACAGGGUCCUUGGACCCUCUAGUUGUAGUACCUGGUUCCUCUAAAACAAACUGUAUCAUUGUAUAGAGAACAUUAGAAUCUUUAUCACAUGAACCAGUUCAGUGCUUAAUCUCCAUUCCCAACAGACC